rnacentral:lncRNA from 1 species
UGUAAGAUGCCCCACGGACUUUGGGAAUAAGGGAGAUAAUCCCAAAGUUGAGGUGAGCAAGGUCAAUGGCGCCAACAAAGAACUCCUCAAAGAUGGCUAUGACCUCUACUUUAGUGGUAUUCCAUAAGGUCUGAAAGAACUUUACCGGGAGACCAUUGGGGCGCGGGGCGGAUGUCGGGUUCAUGCCCUUGCUGGCCAACCAAACCUCCUCCUCCGUGAAAGGAGCCGUGAGGGCCGCGUUCUCCUCCGCGGAGACGCGCCUAUGGGCCAGCCAAAUGUCAAGAGAUAGGGCUAAACCUCCGAGAGGGGAGGUGGAAAAAGUGCUUUGUAAAAUCCAUCUACGUGGGCACAGAUGUCCGUCGGCCGCCACAACGGGGAAUCACCGUCCCAGAGAAAGGGGAUGGAGUUCCGGCAGCGAUGGCCAUUAGUGAUAGCCUGAAAAUAGGUCAUAUUGGCGUCUCCCUUGAG